GUUGAAACACCGGUUCUCGUAAGAUCACUGGUUAAGCAAUGUUAAGACUGGUCAGUACCGAGCUGGGUGACCGCUUGGGAAAAUCAGGUGGUGUA